rnacentral:rRNA from 1 species
UACGUAGGGGGCAAGCGUUGUCCGGAAUCAUUGGGCGUAAAGAGCGUGUAGGCGGCCCGGUAAGUCCGCUGUGAAAGUCCAGGGCUCAACCCUGGAAUGCCGGUGGAAACUGUCGGGCUAGAGUCCGGAAGAGGCGAGUGGAAUUCCUGGUGUAGCGGUGAAAUGCGCAGAUAUCAGGAGGAACACCGGUGGCGAAGGCGGGUCUCUGGGCCGAUACUGACGCUGAGGAGCGAAAGCGUGGGGAGCAAACAGG